CCCUUAGAUGUUCUGGGCCGCACGCGUGCUACACUGAGCGGGCCAACGGGUGAGGAUGUGCGAAAGCGCUUCCCAAUCUCUAAAUCCGCUCGUGCUGGGGAUCGAGGCUUGCAAUUAUCCCUCUUGAACGAGGAAUACCUUGUAAGCACGGGUCAACAUCCCGUGCUGAAUACGUCCCUGCCCUUUGUACACACCGCCCGUCGCACCUACUGAUUGAAUGACUCGGUGAAAAAUCGGGACUGCGAGAACAAUCGAUUAAUUUCGAAUGUACUUGUGGGAACUUUUUUUAACCUCGCCAUUUAGAAGAAGGUGAAGUCGUAACA
rnacentral:rRNA from 1 species